rnacentral:rRNA from 1 species
UACGUAGGGGGCAAGCGUUGUCCGGAAUUAUUGGGCGUAAAGCGCGCGCAGGCGGCCUAUUAAGUCCGAUGUGAAAGCCCACGGCUCAACCGUGGAGGGCCAUUGGAAACUGGUAGGCUUGAGUGCAGGAGAGGAGAGCGGAAUUCCCGGUGUAGCGGUGAAAUGCGCAGAUAUCAGGAAGAACACCUAUGGCGAAGGCAGCUCUCUGGGACGGUACUGACGCUGAGACGCGAAAGCGUGGGGAGCGAACAGG